GUGGCUUGCUACAUGACCUAGCGGCGGACGGGUGAGUAAUACUUAGGAAUCUGCCUAUUAGUGGGGGACAACGUUCCGAAAGGAGCGCUAAUACCGCAUACGCCCUACGGGGGAAAGCAGGGGAUCUUCGGACCUUGCGCUAAUAGAUGAGCCUAAGUCGGAUUAGCUAGUUGGUAGGGUAAAGGCCUACCAAGGCGACGAUCUGUAGCGGGUUUGAGAGGAUGAUCCGCCACACUGGGACUGAGACACGGCCCAGACUCCUACGGGAGGCAGCAGUGGGGAAUAUUGGACAAUGGGCGCAAGCCUGAUCCAGCCAUGCCGCGUGUGUGAAGAAGGCCUUAUGGUUGUAAAGCACUUUAAGCGAGGAGGAGGCUUACCUGGUUAAUACCUAGGAUAAGUGGACGUUACUCGCAGAAUAAGCACCGGCUAACUCUGUGCCAGCAGCCGCGGUAAUACAGAGGGUGCAAGCGUUAAUCGGAAUUACUGGGCGUAAAGCGCGCGUAGGUGGCCAUUUAAGUCAAAUGUGAAAUCCCCGAGCUUAACUUGGGAAUUGCAUUCGAUACUGGGUGGCUAGAGUAUAGGAGAGGAAGGUAGAAUUCCAGGUGUAGCGGUGAAAUGCGUAGAGAUCUGGAGGAAUACCGAUGGCGAAGG
rnacentral:rRNA from 1 species